rnacentral:sRNA from 1 species
GCAACGGAGAGCCGAUGCAGCGCGUCGGCGCGACCCGGUUGCGGAAAUCUAUAUGCGAAAGGACAUACUCUAUGCGGGCAAUCGGAAUGUUGGUGGCGGUCUUCGUUCUC